rnacentral:rRNA from 1 species
CCUACGGGAGGCAGCAGUGGGGAAUAUUGGGCAAUGGGCGCAAGCCUGACCCAGCAACGCCGCGUGAAGGAAGAAGGCUUUCGGGUUGUAAACUUCUUUUCUGAGGGACGAAGAAAGUGACGUUACCUCAGGAAUAAGCCACGGCUAACUACGUGCCAGCAGCCGCGGUAAUACGUAGGUGGCAAGCGUUAUCCGGAUUUAUUGGUGGUAAAGGGCGUGUAGGCGGGAAAGCAAGUCAGAUGUGAAAGCUCAGGGCUCAACCCUGAGACUGGAUUUGAAACUGUUUUUCUUGAGUGCUGGAGAGGGAAGCGGAAUUCGGGGUGUAGGGGUGAAAUGCGGAGAUAUAAGGAAGAACACCAGGGGCGAAGGCGGAUUGCUGGACAGUAACUGACGCUGAGGCGCGAAAGCGUGGGGAGCAAACAGGAUUAGAUACCCGUGUAGUC